AGAGUUUGAUCAUGGCUCAGAACGAACGUUGGCGGCGUGGAUUAGGCAUGCAAGUCGAACGGGGUUGGGGGCAACUCCAACCUAGUGGCGAACGGGUGAGUAACGCGUGGGAAACCUGCCCUCAGGAUGGGGAUAACACUUCCAACGAGGUGCUAAUACCGGAUAAGACCACGGAUCUGCAUGGAUCUGGGGUCAAAGGUGGCCUCUGCUUGCAAGCUACCACCUGUGGAUGGUCCCGCGUCCCAUUAGCUAGUUGGCGGGGUAACGGCCCACCAAGGCGACGAUGGGUAGCUGGUCUGAGAGGAUGGUCAGCCACACUGGGACUGAGAUACGGCCCAGACUCCUACGGGAGGCAGCAGUCGAGAGGCUUCGGCAAUGGGGGAAACCCUGACCGAGCGACGCCGCGUGGGCGAUGAAGGCCUUCGGGUUGUAAAGCCCUGUCGUGCGGGAAGAAGGGUCCAACGGCAAACAGUCGAGGGACCUUGACGGUACCGCAAAAGGAAGCUCCGGCUAACUCCGUGCCAGCAGCCGCGGUAAUACGGGGGGAGCAAACGUUGUUCGGAAUCACUGGGCGUAAAGGGCGCGUAGGCGGCCUCGUAAGUGGGAUGUGAAAGGUCCUGGCUCAACCAGGGACGUGCCUCCUAUACUGCGGGGCUUGAGUGCAGGAGAGGAUGGGGGAAUUCCCGGUGUAGCGGUGAAAUGCAUUGAUAUCGGGAGGAACACCAGUGGCGAAGGCGCUCAUCUGGCCUGUAACUGACGCUCAGGCGCGAAAGCUGGGAGAGCAAACAGGAUUAGAUACUCUGGUAGUCCCAGCUGUAAACGGUGGGCACUAGGUGUGGGGGGCAUCGACCUCUUCCGUGCCGAAGCUAACGCAUUAAGUGCCUCGUCUGGGGAGUACGACCGCAAGGUUGAAACUCAAAGGAAUUG
rnacentral:rRNA from 1 species